rnacentral:rRNA from 1 species
GUUGGCUUAGAAGCAGCCAUCAUUUAAAGAGUGCGUAAUAGCUCACUAGUCGAGUGACACUGCGCCGAAAAUGUACCGGGGCUAAACAUAUUACCGAAGCUGUGGAUUGUCCUUUGGACAAUGGUAGGAGAGCGUUCUAAGGGCGUUGAAGCAUGAUCGUAAGGACAUGUGGAGCGCUUAGAAGUGAGAAUGCCGGUGUGAGUAGCGAAAGACGGGUGAGAAUCCCGUCCACCGAUUGACUAAGGUUUCCAGAGGAAGGCUCGUCCGCUCUGGGUUAGUCGGGUCCUAAGCUGAGGCCGACAGGCGUAGGCGAUGGAUAACAGGUUGAUAUUCCUGUACCACCUAUAAUCGUUUUAAUCGAUGGGGGGACGCAGUAGGAUAGGCGAAGCGUGCGAUUGGAUUGCACGUCUAAGCAGUAAGGCUGAGUAUUAGGCAAAUCCGGUACUCGUUAAGGCUGAGCUGUGAUGGGGAGAAGACAUUGUGUCUUCGAGUCGUUGAUUUCACACUGCCGAGAAAAGCCUCUAGAUAGAAAAUAGGUGCCCGUACCGCAAACCGACACAGGUAGUCAAGAUGAGAAUUCUAAGGUGAGCGAGCGAACUCUCGUUAAGGAACUCGGCAAAAUGACCCCGUAACUUCGGGAGAAGGGGUGCUCUUUAGGGUUAACGCCCAGAAGAGCCGCAGUGAAUAGGCCCAAGCGACUGUUUAUCAAAAACACAGGUCUCUGCUAAACCGUAAGGUGAUGUAUAGGGGCUGACGCCUGCCCGGUGCUGGAAGGUUAAGAGGAGUGGUUAGCUUCUGCGAAGCUACGAAUCGAAGCCCCAGUAAACGGCGGCCGUAACUAUAACGGUCCUAAGGUAGCGAAAUUCCUUGUCGGGUAAGUUCCGACCCGCACGAAAGGCGUAACGAUUUGGGCACUGUCUCAACGAGAGACUCGGUGAAAUCAUAGUACCUGUGAAGAUGCAGGUUACCCGCGACAGGACGGAAAGACCCCGUGGAGCUUUACUGUAGCCUGAUAUUGAAAUUCGGCACAGCUUGUACAGGAUAGGUAGGAGCCUUUGAAACGUGAGCGCUAGCUUACGUGGAGGCGCUGGUGGGAUACUACCCUAGCUGUGUUGGCUUUCUAACCCGCACCACUUAUCGUGGUGGGAGACAGUGUCAGGCGGGCAGUUUGACUGGGGCGGUCGCCUCCUAAAAGGUAACGGAGGCGCUCAAAGGUUCCCUCAGAAUGGUUGGAAAUCAUUCAUAGAGUGUAAAGGCAUAAGGGAGCUUGACUGCGAGACCUACAAGUCGAGCAGGGUCGAAAGACGGACUUAGUGAUCCGGUGGUUCCGCAUGGAAGGGCCAUCGCUCAACGGAUAAAAGCUACCCCGGGGAUAACAGGCUUAUCUCCCCCAAGAGUUCACAUCGACGGGGAGGUUUGGCACCUCGAUGUCGGCUCAUCGCAUCCUGGGGCUGUAGUCGGUCCCAAGGGUUGGGCUGUUCGCCCAUUAAAGCGGUACGCGAGCUGGGUUCAGAACGUCGUGAGACAGUUCGGUCCCUAUCCGUCGUGGGCGUAGGAAAUUUGAGAGGAGCUGUCCUUAGUACGAGAGGACCGGGAUGGACAUACCUCUGGUGUACCAGUUGUCGUGCCAACGGCAUAGCUGGGUAGCUAUGUGUGGACGGGAUAAGUG